rnacentral:rRNA from 1 species
GACGUAGGGGGCAAGCGUUGUUCGGAAUUACUGGGCGUAAAGGGCUCGUAGGCGGCCAACUAAGUCGGAUGUGAAAUCCCCAAGCUUAACUUGGGAACUGCAUCCGAUACUGGAUGGCUUGAAUCCGGGAGAGGGAUGCAGAAUUCCAGGUGUAGCGGUGAAAUGCGUAGAUAUCUGGAGGAAUACCGGUGGCGAAGGCGGCAUCCUGGACCGGCAUUGACGCUGAGGAGCAAAAGCUAGGGGAGCAA